UGGGUAGUCCGUACGAGCGCACCUUGUCCCUAGUUGCCAGCACUUCGGGUGGGAACUCUAGGGAGACUGCCGGUGAUAAACCGGAGGAAGGUGGGGAUGACGUCAAGUCAUCAUGGCCCUUAUGGGGAGGGCUACACACGUGCUACAAUGGCCGGUACAGAGGGCUGCGAAGCCGCGAGGUGGAGCGAAUCUCAGAAAACCGGUCGUAGUCCGGAUUGCAGUCUGCAACUCGACUACAUGAAGCCGGAAUCGCUAGUAAUCGCGGAUCAGAACGCCGCGGUGAAUACGUUCCCGGGCCUUGUACACACCGCCCGUCACACCAUGGGAGUGGGCUGUACCAGAAGUAGGUAGUCUAACCUUCGGGAGGACGCUUACCACGGUGUGGUUCAUGACUGGGGUGAAGUCGUAACAAGGUAGCCCUAGGGGAACCUGGGGCUGGAUCACCUCCUUU
rnacentral:rRNA from 1 species